UAAUACGAAGGGGGCUAGCGUUGUUCGGAAUUACUGGGCGUAAAGGGCGCGUAGGCGGCCGUUUAAGUUAGGUGUGAAAGUCCUGGGCUCAACCUGGGGACUGCACUUAAUACUGGAUGGCUUGAAUUCGGGAGAGGAUAGCGGAAUUCCCAGUGUAGAGGUGAAAUUCGUAGAUAUUGGGAAGAACACCGGUGGCGAAGGCGGCUAUCUGGACCGACAUUGACGCUGAGGCGCGAAAGCGUGGGGAGCAAACAGG
rnacentral:rRNA from 1 species